rnacentral:rRNA from 1 species
UUGGAGGGCAAUCUGGUGCCCGCAGCCGCGGUAAUUCCAGCUCCAAUAGCGUAUAUUAAAGUUGUUGCAGUUAAAAAGCUCGUAGUUGAAUUUCGGGGUUAGUAGGUUGGUCAUGCCUCUGGUAUGUACUGGUCUCACUGAUUCCUCCUUCCUUAUGAACCGUAAUGCCAUUAAUUUGGUGUUGCGGGGAAUUUGGACUGUUACUUUGAAAAAAUUGAGUGUUUAAAGCAAGCUAACGCUUGAAUACAUUAGCAUGGAAUAAUGAAAUAGGACGUUCG